AGUUUGAUCCUGGCUCAGAUUGAACGCUGGCGGCAUGCUUUACACAUGCAAGUCGAACGGUAACGCGGGGCAACCUGGCGACGAGUGGCGAACGGGUGAGUAAUACAUCGGAACGUGCCCAGUAGUGGGGGAUAGCCCGGCGAAAGCCGGAUUAAUACCGCAUACGACCUACGGGUGAAAGCGGGGGAUCGCAAGACCUCGCGCUAUUGGAGCGGCCGAUGUCAGAUUAGCUAGUUGGUGGGGUAAAAGCCUACCAAGGCGACGAUCUGUAGCUGGUCUGAGAGGACGACCAGCCACACUGGGACUGAGACACGGCCCAGACUCCUACGGGAGGCAGCAGUGGGAAUUUUGGACAAUGGGGGCAACCCUGAUCCAGCCAUGCCGCGUGCGGGAAGAAGGCCUUCGGGUUGUAAACCGCUUUUGUCAGGGAAGAAACGGUCUGCGCUAAUACCGCGGACUAAUGACGGUACCUGAAGAAUAAGCACCGGCUAACUACGUG
rnacentral:rRNA from 1 species